rnacentral:rRNA from 1 species
UAGCUAGUUGGUGAGGUAAAGGCUUACCAAGGCGACGAUCUGUAGCGGGUCUGAGAGGAUGAUCCGCCACACUGGAACCGAGACACGGUCCAGACUCCUACGGGAGGCAGCAGUGGGGAAUUUUGGACAAUGGGGGCAACCCUGAUCCAGCCAUGCCGCGUGAGUGAAGAAGGCCUUCGGGUUGUAAAGCUCUUUCGGCCGGGAAGAAAUCGCAUGGGCCAAUACCCUGUGUGGAUGACGGUACCGGAAUAAGAAGCACCGGCUAACUACGUGCCAGCAGCCGCGGUAAUACGUAGGGUGCGAGCGUUAAUCGGAAUUACUGGGCGUAAAGCGUGCGCAGGCGGUUUUGUAAGACAGGCGUGAAAUCCCCGGGCUUAACCUGGGAACUGCGUUUGUGACUGCAAGGCUAGAGUACGGCAGAGGGGGGUGGAAUUCCACGUGUAGCAGUGAAAUGCGUAGAGAUGUGGAGGAACACCAAUGGCGAAGGCAGCCCCCUGGGUCGAUACUGACGCUCAUGCACGAAAGCGUGGGUAGCAAACAGGAUUAGAUACCCUGGUAGUCCACGCCCUAAACUAUGUCAACUAGGUGUUGGGUGGGUAAAACCAUUUAGUACCGUAGCUAACGCGUGAAGUUGACCGCCUGGGGAGUACGGCCGCAAGGUCAAAACUCAAAGGAAUUGACGGGGACCCGCACAAGCGGUGGAUGAUGUGGAUUAAUUCGAUGCAACGCGAAAAACCUUACCUACCCUUGACAUGCCAGGAACUUGCCAGAGAUGGCUUGGUGCCCGAAAGGGAGCCUGGACACAGGUGCUGCAUGGCUGUCGUCAGCUCGUGUCGUGAGAUGUUGGGUUAAGUCCCGCAACGAGCGCAACCCUUGUCGUUAAUUGCCAUCAUUUAGUUGGGCACUUUAACGAGACUGCCGGUGACAAACCGGAGGAAGGUGGGGAUGACGUCAAGUCCUCAUGGCCCUUAUGGGUAGGGCUUCACACGUCAUACAAUGGUCGGUACAAAGGGUUGCCAAGCCGCGAGGCGGAGCCAAUCCCAGAAAGCCGAUCGUAGUCCGGAUUGCAGGCUGCAACUCGCCUGCAUGAAGUCGGAAUCGCUAGUAAUCGUGGAUCAGCAUGUCACGGUGAAUACGUUCCCGGGUCUUGUACACACCGCCCGUCACACCAUGGGAGCGGGUUCCGCCAGAAGUAGGUAGCCUAACCGCAAGGGGGGCGCUUACCACGGCGGGGUUCGUGACUGGGGUGAAGUCGUAACAAGGUAGCCGUAGGGGAACCUGCGGCUG